rnacentral:rRNA from 1 species
UACGUAGGGUGCAAGCGUUAAUCGGAAUUACUGGGCGUAAAGCGUGCGCAGGCGGUUAUGUAAGACAGGUGUGAAAUCCCCGGGCUUAACCUGGGAACUGCAUUUGUGACUGCAUAGCUAGAGUACGGUAGAGGGGGGAUGGAAUUCCGCGUGUAGCAGUGAAAUGCGUAGAUAUGCGGAGGAACACCGAUGGCGAAGGCAAUCCCCUGGACCUGUACUGACGCUCAUGCACGAAAGCGUGGGGAGCAAACAGGAU